AUACGGAGGAUGCAAGCGUUAUCCGGAUUUAUUGGGUUUAAAGGGUGCGUAGGCGGUUUGCUAAGCGGGAGGUGAAAUGCCGGCGCUCAACGUCGGAAGUGCCUCCCGAACUGGUGGACUGGAAUGACUCUGCCGUGGGAGGAAUGUGUAGUGUAGCGGUGAAAUGCUUAGAGAUUACACAGAACACCGACUGCGAAGGCAUCUCACGAAGGGUUGAUUGACGCUGAGGCACGAAAGCGUGGGGAUCAAACAGGAUUAGAUACCCUGGUAGUCCACGCAGUAAACGAUGAUGGCUAACCGCUGGUUUAUUCGGAUCAGUGGCCAAGCGAAAGCGAUAAGCCAUCCACCUGGGGAGUACGACCGCAAGGUUGAAACUCAAAGGAAUUGACGGGG
rnacentral:rRNA from 1 species